AUUGGUACAGCAAGAAAACCCACUCCAACAUUUCUGUAAUUAACGUGGAGGCCAGUUUAUUCCAUUCCUCUAAAUGCUUCCUGUUAUUCUUCCUGUACUUGCCUCUGUCUAGGUGGAUGCGUUUGCUGCUAAAGCAGUUUUUGAAUGUUGUGUCCUUGGUUUCCUCAAAAUGGCUGAAAAUCCCUCAGGCCUAUGUGAAUGCUUGGAGAGCCUCUAGGAUGGCUUUAUUAAAGCUCAGCUGCUGCUGCUUGCUUGGACUGUUAUGGGAGAACCUUUCAGCCUAGCAGGUCUUCCUAGCCUGGUCUUUAGGUUGUGGCACCGCUCAAAUUCCUUCUUAGCUGCCCAUGCAGCAUGCAAGGCUCAGGGGAUGGUGGAGUUUUGGCCUUUCCUGUACAGAAUGGUGGAAGAUUCAAAGCUCCAAGAGAUUGCAGAUGUUCUCUGUAACAGAAAACUGGAAAUACUUCACAUAAAAUGGCAUUGCAUAACUUCUCAGAUGCCUGAUGUUACACUGGAUGAAGAAAGCUGA
rnacentral:lncRNA from 1 species